rnacentral:tRNA from 1 species
AGAGACUUAGGCUAAUA